AACAGGAUUAGAUACCCUGGUAGUCCACGCCCUAAACGAUGUCUACUAGUUGUUGGGUCUUAAUUGACUUAGUAACGCAGCUAACGCGUGAAGUAGACCGCCUGGGGAGUACGGUCGCAAGAUUAAAACUCAAAGGAAUUGACGGGGACCCGCACAAGCGGUGGAUGAUGUGGAUUAAUUCGAUGCAACGCGAAAAACCUUACCUACCCUUGACAUGUCAGGAAUCCUUGAGAGAUCGAGGAGUGCCCGAAAGGGAACCUGAACACAGGUGCUGCAUGGCUGUCGUCAGCUCGUGUCGUGAGAUGUUGGGUUAAGUCCCGCAACGAGCGCAACCCUUGUCAUUAGUUGCUACGAAAGGGCACUCUAAUGAGACUGCCGGUGACAAACCGGAGGAAGGUGGGGAUGACGUCAAGUCCUCAUGGCCCUUAUGGGUAGGGCUUCACACGUCAUACAAUGGUACAUACAGAGGGCCGCCAACCCGCGAGGGGGAGCUAAUCCCAGAAAGUGUAUCGUAGUCCGGAUUGUAGUCUGCAACUCGACUACAUGAAGUUGGAAUCGCUAGUAAUCGCGGAUCAGCAUGUCGCGGUGAAUACGUUCCCGGGUCUUGUACACACCGCCCGUCACACCAUGGGAGCGGGUUUUACCAGAAGUAGGUAGCUUAACCGCAAGGAGGGCGCUUACCACGGUAGGAUUCGUGACUGGGGUGAAGUCGUAACAAGGUAACC
rnacentral:rRNA from 1 species